AUAUUAUUUCAAUUUCAAUUUUUUCACCAAAUUACUUUGCUGCAUGCUAACGCAACGAACUACGGGAAACCCACCGCAUCGAAAUUACCGUACCCAUUCUCUUCAAAUCUUGAAGUUCAACCGCCUCUCCAAAACCCUAAAUCUUGGCAAUCCACCGUACGAUUGAUCCUUAGCGUCCUCAUGGAUCCUCCGAAACAGUCACAACACCAACCCAUCAUCAAAGACAAAGACCUCUUUGAAGCCGCGGAAACUGGAGAUUCAUCAACUUUUCAAUCACUCGCCCCGGAACACCUCUCCAAAUCUCUAUCUUUAAAAAACGAAGAUGGCCGCUCCCUCCUCCACGUCGCCGUCUCUUCCCGUCGCCCCGAGCUGGUGAAAAUACUGUCAAAUGUCGAUGAGUCGGCCAAGGUGAUCAACGCUGGAGAUGAAGAAGGGUGGGCUCCUAUUCAUUCGGCGGCUAGCAUUGGGAACACGGAAAUUUUGGAAAUUUUGCUGAGCAAAGGAGCUGAUGUCAAUUUGAAGAAUGAUGGUGGGCGUACUGCUCUUCAUUAUGCUGCCAGCAAGGGAUGGUUGAAGAUUGCCGAGCUUCUGAUCGCGCAUGGUGCAAAAAUUAAUUCGAAGGACAAGGUUGGCUGUACCCCAUUGCAUCGGGGAGCUAGCUUGGGGAAUUCAGAGUUGUGUGAACUGUUAAUUGAGGAAGGUGCAGAAGUUGAUGCUUCUGAUAAAGCUGGUCAAACUCCACUUAUGCAUGCAGUGAUUUGCCAAAACAAACAGGUAGCUCUGCUUCUAAUAAGACAUGGAGCAGAUGUUGAUAUGCAAGACAAUGAAGGGUUCACCGUGCUUGGUCGGGCUUCAAAUGAUUUUAGACAUACAUUGGUCGAUGCUGCGAAAGCUAUGCUUGAAGGAUGAAUUCUUAGAGCUUGUUACAGAACUAGAUUGUGUUGUGAGUGACUUACUUGCUGAAGGAGUGCAUAGUCAGGACUCAAGACUGACCCAUCUGGGGCUAAAACAAAGAACUGAAUAUUGCCAAUCGUUUGACUCAUCUGGUGUUAAAUAUAUCAGCUAUUUGUAACUUUACUCGAUGGAAACUUUAGGAGUUCAAAAUUUUAAGCUUCAGAUACUGCUUAACUUUCUAA